AAGAUGAUGAACCUCUACAUUUGUUUAACCGUUCUUUUGAUCCUGCAUCUAGCGCAAGCAAGACGUGAUGUAAUGGAUCGAUUCUCCACUAGUAAGAGGGAUCCCGAGAAGUCAAAACAAGAUGGAGGGUUAAUGAUAGCGAGGGAUUCCGAGAGACCAAAACAAGAUAGAGGGGUCAUGAU